ensembl:lncRNA
GUGUGUAAUGGUGUGUGAAUAAGUGAUUGUGUAUAUGGGUGUGUAUAAGGCUGUGUGUAUAAGGUUGUGUGUGUAUGGCUGUGAAUAAGCGUGUGUGAAUAAGUGAGUGUGUAUACGGGUGUGUAUAAGGCUGUGUGUAUACGGGUGUGUAUAAGACCGAGUGUAUGAGGCUGUGUGUAUAUGGGUGUGCAUACGGGUGUGUAUAAGGCUGUGUGAAUAAGUGAGUGUGUAUACGAGUGUGUAUAAAGCUUUGUUUAAGGGUAUGUGUAUAUUGGUGAGUAUAUGGGUGUGUAUAAGGGGGUGUAUAUAAGGCUGUGUGUAUAAGGGUGUGUGUAUAAGGGUGUGUGAAUAAGUGAGUGUGUAUAAGGGUGUGUGUAUAAGUGAGUGUGUAUACAGGUGUGUAUAAGGGUGUGUGUGUGUGCUGUACCCCUUUCCACAGCCCUCUGGCCCAACCAGCAGGAACGGCUGUGUGUUUCCGGCCUGCAGCCAGCGUGUGAAGUUGUGUAGCGCGUCCUGUGUGUGUGGAGUGUGUAUGACGGGGAGUGUGUGCGUAUAUCCGAAGUCCUCCACGCACACUCCGUCUCCACGCUGCGCCUCGUACGCACGCACGCGGCCAGAGUCACCAUCAUAGCACAGAUCCAGAGGGUUCCGCGGGUCAGGAGGGCUCUCACCUGCC